rnacentral:lncRNA from 1 species
CGCGUUCAUGUUCCUCUGGUUUUCCGGUAAUGCGUAAAAACGCUCGAUGAGAGAUUCAGCCUCCUCCUGAGAUGGCCACGCCACCAGCUUACCAUCAUCACGGUUGAAAAAGGUCAAGCAAGCCUUCGUAUCAGACAAGAUGGUUAGUUCUUCAGCCAUUUUCAUCAAUCCUUUCAUCCUCUUCUGGCAAGCAAUGUUUCUUUUCUUUCGAUCCUCGAUCCAAGCAAGCUUCAGUUUUGGUCUUGCCAUGGCCGCUUUUAGUUAUAUCUUUUAUUUGUGAUGUUGAAAUGUAGACAUGCACUUGUAAUCUUAUAUAGAGAUAGUUGAGAAGAAGAGACAAAGACUCAAAAUGGACUACUUUGGGAAUGUAGUCAAUUACCAUUAAUUUUCAACAGAUUUCAUAUAGCAGUAUGGUAAAUAAUAAUUUGACUAUGAUAUACCAUUAUUUUUUAGUCUAGGGGCGGUAUUAUAUUCCGGGGGGCCUAGGCGGAAAAAAAUUAUUUGUAAAAGGAUAAAAAAUCAAGAGCCCAAUUAUAAUAAAUUAAGAAAUCGGAGGUCCAUUUAUUAUGAUUUUUUGUUGAAUUGUUUUUUUUUAAUUGGGUUCGUAGGCGGUCCUUUCAUCCCGCUCCCCUCAAAACUGCCCCUGACUAAACUAUUUUGGUAGUGUAUUAAAUAUAUUGGUUGUUCUAAUUAUUAAGUUUAAUGUUUAUGUGUCAUCAUAAUUUACUUGGGUUUACAAUUUUCAUAAUAGGCAAUUUUACUUAAAAAAAUUAUUCUUGUUAAUUAUUAUAUAUUGUAAGUCUUUGCUAAUUCUCUUUUAGCAAAAUACUUUUAAUCAAAUAUAAAUAUAGUUAGAGAGUAGGUAAAAGUGACAUUAAUAUAAAUACUUGUAAUCUUAAAUACAAAUUGAUUAACUGAACUAAAAACUUAAUUUGGAAUGACAAAUUAUAUUUUGUAAUUUAUAAAAAAUGAUUACACUACUACUAAAAGUGUUAUUAAGUGUCCUGCAAACAUCUGCUCAUUUUUCAAAAUCAUCAUUUUUCAAUACCAAGAAUUCUGAACUUAAAUCACAAUAUAAGAUAUUAAUUUGGUUUCCUGCAUUAUCCGAUUUUGUAAUUUGUAUACUCUAUUUUUGUAUUUUCUGGUUGAAUUAACAAUGCUUGAGAUUUUUCAUUUAAAUAUGCUUUUCCAGCCAUUCAGUCUUAACAUCUUGAAAUUUUCGUUGGUGCAAUGGUGCACUUAGAAUCUUGUGAAAGCCGUAGCUAAUUAAUUAUGUGCCUCUCUAGGAAUUUAACACACAUCAGCACAAGCCUGAAUAAAUGCUAAAACAUUACAAUGAAACCUAGUAUGUCUUGUUAAACCAUUUUUAACGAUCUGAUUGAGACUAAAUCCACAACUGUUGUUAAAGAAGUUUUGAACGGUUUGAUUAUCUUAAUUCAAUUGUAUUUUGGUGACCUUUAUGGUUUUCAAUAAAUGAAUUUAAACAGUGAAAAAAAAGUAAAUAGAUAAAUAUUUAAAAAGCAGUGAGAAUAAGCAGACAAGACGUUUACGUACGUCAUCUGAUCAUCUCAUUCAAGCACUCAACAUGCCACGACUCGAUAUUUAAUUAAUAAGCCCUAUGCCAUUUUCCUAUAGUCUGAACAAAAGUCUAGUACGACAAAUCCAACAUAUUUUGAUCAAACCCAUCAUCGUACACUAAGAUUGGCUAAAACCAUGACUCCAAUUUUCUACUGAUUCGAGGGAUUAUCUACACUUUGGCCCUUUUUAUGCCGGUUAUAUAAAAAGGUCAAAUAAAUCAUUACAAGAAACAUAGAAGUAAAGUUGAGAUCAUAUUUACAUCUUUACAUCUUUACAUCUUUCAUCAAGUUUUUUUUAAACAAGAAAACAAAUCAUUUUUUGUAAAUAAGGGGAAAACUAAUCAAUGCUGACAUUAAGUAUUCAAAUGUUUGAUCAACGUCUAACAACGUUUUUAUACAUGACAUACGCCACAAGAACAUUAUAUGAUAUCAUAUGCAAAUCCACCCUACCCAAGAAAACCUAAUCGUAUAUAAAUCCACCCUAGCCACAGAAAAUCUAUAUAUGACACAACUCAAAUCUAGACGUUUACUCAUCACCAUGAUGACCAAAAACAAACGUUCACUCCUUUUCUCUUCAGAUCAGUUUUUUACUUAUCCAAUGGAUGCCACGGCCGUGCCACCUGACUCUGACCUGUGGCUACCAGCCACGGAUAGUAUGGGAUUCGCUUACGGGCUUGUUGUCUCCAUUGGUAUACUUCUUCUAAUUACCACAAUCACCAUCACUUCUUAUUGUUUAACUCGAAGCCAUAUCUUCGCAUCUUCCCCGAGGACAAUAAGACGCCGGCAAAGACAAACCGAUGCAACUUCAAGAAAUGGCGAUGAACGGUUUCACUACGGUGAUGAUCAAAACGACACCGUGGUGGUCGAAGUCUUAGGGCUAGACGAUGAGGUUAUCAAGAGCUUCCCUAAGCUUCCUUACGAAGAGGCUCGUGUGGGUUAUAGCUUGCAAAGGGAUGCCACUGCGACGUCAUGUUGUUCUAUAUGUCUUGCGGAUUACAAGAAGACAGAUAUGAUUAGGGUUUUGCCGGAUUGUAACCAUUUGUUCCACGACAAGUGCGUUGACCCUUGGCUCAUGAUUCAUCCUACGUGUCCAGUUUGCCGUACGUCUCCAUUGCCGUCUCCGGCGAAGACACCAGUCGCCGACGCUGUUAUCGGUCGAUAGAUCUUUGACUUCGUGUCUUUUCUUUAUUUACUAUAUUUCUAUUUCUGUUGACAUUCUUAGACUAUGCUAUACCUUCAAGUUGUAAAGUUUCGCGGGUGUUAUUUGGUUCGUCAUACAAACAAAAUUUAAUGGUAUAUUCUUGAGACAACAUGAACAGUUUAAUCAGAUUAUAAUAUUUAUUUAUAUUUGAUAUAACAAUUAUAAUCUUUAGUAAACCCUUUGUUCAAAUAAAAAGGUUUUAUUAUUUCAACCGGAGGAAGAAAUUAAUUAUAUUGAUACAUGACGCUACUGAAUACAUUAAUGCAUUUAUGCAGUUUAUAAAUAAUUUUCUCUCAAGUUAUUACAAAUACUAGAUUUGUAUUAUUUUUUUUCAACAAAUACUAGACUUUUAUUGAAGCUAAACGUACGUGCUUUACUGGUUCUUCAUCAAUAAUUUCAUGAACAUUACAUUCUUGUUAACUAGAUUGCGUCCAUCAUUCUACAAAGUGAGGUGAUUUUAGUGAAUGUGAAUACCACAAUGAAUGUUAGAUCUUGCCAACAUGAGAAAAAUAUAAUCAUAUUCAUUUUCAUGUAAUUAUCUCUAAAAAGUAAGAGCAGAAUCCUAGUAAAGAUUAUGGUUUAAUAGUAUAGAUUCAAGUUUUAACAUAACGUAGUGAAGUCCAAUACAAUCUAGGGCCGGAGACUCGGUUGGGUAAUAACUCAGGUCGGAUUAAACUGGUCCAUUUAAUUGCAAAGGGAAAAACAUUUCAUUAUUUAGGUAAACAUGCAAACAAAGACACAAAUUUAAAACAAAACACGAAACAUACCAAAGCUUGACCAAAACAAAAAUAUGAAAUGAGAAUGCAAAGACACAACAACAACUUUAUUCCAAGACACAUUAAUUCAUUAGGCAUCGUCCUCACCACCAGACUUGCUGCUCUCUCCUUCUUUGGUCUUCAUGUACUCCUCAUCAUCAUUAGAAGGUUCCAUGUUCAGGUUAAAUCGAGAUCCCAUAUGAGUCAUCCCAUCGCCAUGUUUUUGGACUUCUGGAUUAUCCACGAACCACUUGUCCAUUAAAUAGACACCUCCCCUUCGCAUCGGGCGGAAACAAGGUCCUGGUCCCCCUUCAGGUGCAACAGCAACACCCGUAGCCUUUGGGAUGAUCUCAUCCCCAAGAAAUGGCUCGUCGACACUUGUAUACGGAUGUUCCGCACCUAACUCUCUCGUCAAAACCGUGAUCUUCUUACUUGCAUAUGACAUUAACUUCUCAACCUCGGUUUGAGAAAGGUCAGCAAGCAUUCUACCAUUUUGGAUUUGGAGCAUGAGAUGAUCCAUCUCCAACUCCUCGACCACCUUCCGAGAAUGCUCUAGUUUCUUCUCGAUCUUCUUGGUAAUGGUCUUGAUGUAUGACUCUUGAUCAUCCGCGUUCAUGUUCCUCUGGUUUUCCGGUAAUGCGUAAAAACGCUCGAUGAGAGAUUCAGCCUCCUCCUGAGAUGGCCACGCCACCAGCUUACCAUCAUCACGGUUGAAAAAGGUCAAGCAAGCCUUCGUAUCAGACAAGAUGGUUAGUUCUUCAGCCAUUUUCAUCAAUCCUUUCAUCCUCUUCUGGCAAGCAAUGUUUCUUUUCUUUCGAUCCUCGAUCCAAGCAAGCUUCAGUUUUGGUCUUGCCAUGGCCGCUUUUAG